rnacentral:rRNA from 1 species
GAUCCUGGCUCAGGACGAACGCUGGCGGCGUGCCUAAUACAUGCAAGUAGAACGCUGAAGACUUUAGCUUGCUAGAGUUGGAAGAGUUGCGAACGGGUGAGUAACGCGUAGGUAACCUGCCUAUUAGCGGGGGAUAACUAUUGGAAACGAUAGCUAAUACCGCAUAAUAGUGUUUAACACAUGUUAGAGACUUGAAAGAUGCAAUUGCAUCACUAGUAGAUGGACCUGCGUUGUA